rnacentral:rRNA from 3 species
GACCAAGGAGUCUAACAUGUGUGCAAGUCAUUGAGAAUGUUAAACUCAAAGGCGUAAUGAAAGUGAAGAUUCCAUUUUAGGAAUUUGAGGAGAGAUCAGUUUCUUUGUGUUGGGCUUCCGUAAGGUUGACUGGCCAAGAGCUGCGCAUCUCCUGGACGUCUUAACCUUCGAAGGUGGGGCGUACCUAGAGCAUACACGUUGGGACCCGAAAGAUGGUGAACUAUGCCUGGUCAGAACGAAGUCAGGGGAAACCCUGAUGGAGGUUCGUAGCGAUUCUGACGUGCAAAUCGAUCGUCGGAAC